UGGUGGGUAGUUUGACUGGGGCGGUCUCCUCCUAAAGAGUAACGGAGGAGCACGAAGGUUGGCUAAUCCUGGUCGGACAUCAGGAGGUUAGUGCAAUGGCAUAAGCCAGCUUGACUGCGAGCGUGACGGCGCGAGCAGGUGCGAAAGCAGGUCAUAGUGAUCCGGUGGUUCUGAAUGGAAGGGCCAUCGCUCAACGGAUAAAAGGUACUCCGGGGAUAACAGGCUGAUACCGCCCAAGAGUUCAUAUCGACGGCGGUGUUUGGCACCUCGAUGUCGGCUCAUCACAUCCUGGGGCUGAAGUAGGUCCCAAGGGUAUGGCUGUUCGCCAUUUAAAGUGGUACGCGAGCUGGGUUUAGAACGUCGUGAGACAGUUCGGUCCCUAUCUGCCGUGGGCGCUGGAGAACUGAGGGGGGCUGCUCCUAGUACGAGAGGACCGGAGUGGACGCAUCACUGGUGUUCGGGUUG
rnacentral:rRNA from 6 species